rnacentral:rRNA from 1 species
AGAGUUUGAUCCUGGCUCAGAACAAACGCUGGCGGCGUGUCUUAAGCAUGCAAGUCGAGCGGCAAGGGCAGCAAUGCCCCUAGAGCGGCGGACUGGUGAGUAACGCGUGGGUGAUCUACCUUGGGCAUGGGGAUAGCCAUUAGAAAUAGUGGGUAGUACCGAAUACGUUCGUUACCGUGAGGGUAACGAGGAAAGGCGCUACGGCGCCGGCCUGGAGAUGAGCUUGCGUCUGAUUAGCUAGUUGGUGAGGUAAUGGCUCACCAAGGCGAUGAUCGGUAGCCGGCCUGAGAGGGUGUACGGCCACACUGGGACUGAGAUACGGCCCAGACUCCUACGGGAGGCAGCAGCUAAGAAUAUUCCGCAAUGGACGAAAGUCUGACGGAGCGACGCCGCGUGGAUGAUGAAGGCCG